GCAGGCAGGGGCAGCAAGAUGGCGUCACAGAGGCAGGUCCUCCUCUUCUUGUUGCUGUGGGUCUCAGGUGCCCGUGGGGACAUCACGAUGACUCAGUCUCCAGGCUCCCUGGCUGUGUCUCCAGGUCAACGGGUCACCAUGAACUGCAGAGCCAGUCAGAGUGUUAGCAACUAUGUAAGCUGGUACCAGCAGAAACCUGGGCAGGCUCCCAGGCUCCUCAUCUAUUAUGCAUCCAGCAGGGCCACGGGCAUCCCAGACCGGUUCAGCGGCAGUGGGUCUGGGACAGACUUCACCCUCACCAUCAGCAACCUCCAGGUGGAAGAUGUGGGAAACUAUUACUGUCAGCAGCAUAAUAACUCUGAGAGCUUUGGCCCAGGGAGAUGGAGAGAAUCUCAGGCAGACACCCUGUUGAGUUGGGAACCUGUCACCGCUCCAUCUCACAUGCCUGAGAUCAUGACCUGAGCCGAAACCAAGUGUCGGACCCUCAACAGA